rnacentral:ncRNA from 2 species
AUAAAAUAAUUAUGUUUUUGGAAAUUUAUUAUGAAUUUAUUUUACAUAUAAAUUUUAGUAUAUAAUUUUAAUUAUUUUAAUAAUAAUUAAUUUAUUUUGGUAGUAAUUAAUAUUAAAAAUUUAAGAAAUUAAGAUUUAGUAAUAUAAAAAUUAAUAACUAAUUUUGUGCCAGCAGUUGCGGUUAAACAAAAGUUAAAUUAAAUUAUUUCAGUAUAUAAUAAAUAAUAAAAUUAUUAAAAUAAACAUUAAAUUAUUAAGUGAAAUUUUAAUUUAAUUAAAUUUUAUUUUAAAUUUAUGAUUUAAUAAAUUUUAAUAUAAACUAGGAUUAGAUACCCUAUUAUUAAAAAUUUAAUUUAUAAUACUAAAAUAGUAAAUAAUAAUUUAUUGAAACUUAAAUAAUAUGGCGGUAUUUUAGUUCAUUUAGAGGAAUCUGUCUAAUAAUUGAUAAUCCACGAAUAAAUUUACUUAAUUUAUAAUUUUGUAUAUCAUUGUUAAAAAAAUAUUUUUUAGGAAAAAUAAUAUUUAAAAAUUAUAAUAAAAAAUUAAAUCAGAUCAAGAUGCAGAAUAUAAUUAAGAAUAUGAUGGAUUACAUUAAAUAUAUUUAUAUGGAUAAUUUUAUUGUAAUAAAAAUUUGAAGGUGGAUUUAAAUGUAAUUUUAAUUAGUUUAUUAAAAUGAUUAAAAAUUAAAAUAUGUACAUAUUGCCCGUCACUUUCAUUUAAAAAUUGAAAUAAGUCGUAACAAAGUAGAGGUACUGGAAAGUGUUUCUAGAAAGA